rnacentral:lncRNA from 1 species
CUUUUAUGUGGUGUCCCAUGACACAAAGAAUGAUCUCUUUCUGGAAGCUGUGUUGCAGUGUGUGAAUAUAUUAGAUAUGCUGGUUAAGCCAUUUCUCCUCUUUCCCCAGCUCAAUAGCCCUCAUUCCUAUUGUUAAAGCAGUGUAAAAAUCUGCUUUAAAGAACGACAACCCCAAGUAAAACCUUUAGGACUGCAAGUAUUGUACUCUCAGAAUACCCAAGUAAGCUAAACACUACCAUAAAACAAAAAACGAGCGAGAAGGUGAUUAAGAACAGGAGCUUUGUUUUGUCAGCAUUGGCUGGUGAAGCAAUAUAUGCAUCCCCACAGCAUGCAAUGCCACAUCAUCAUCUCCUACUCCCUUUUCUCCUACCUCCACCACAGCUGGGUCAUUUAGUCUCAAUUUCCUUCAAUAAUGAGAUCCACAAUUACAAAAUAAAGAUUCAGAAUAAAAUACCAUACCAAGUGAUUGCAGCCUCUAAUGAGACAGAACUACUGUCCUCUUCACAGCUCCUUGCAGCUGAUCCAACAGAUAGAUCUUCGACCUUCACAUCUCAUUUUGAUCCUUUCUGCCACAUCUGUGCCGAGGCGUUGCUGUAUGUACUUUGAGUGUGACUCUUCACAUCCUGGAAUGGUCAGAACUUCUUAGAGCCGAGAAGAUAGGAAGAAGAUGCAGCAAAAUGAUUUUAAAAGCUUGGGAACUUCCUUUUAAAUUCUAAUGUGAAAGAGUUUUCCUAUUGAGCACACACACAUGGCAGUACAAUCCGUUUGUACACGCUUUACCGGUAACUGAGGCAUCAUAGCAACCCAUAUAUCAGUCAUGCCCAUGUGAACAAGCCUGCUGUCAUUUCCACUGGAGACACAUUUCUGGGUUUUCUGGGCUUCCUUAAAGCUGACUACGUUUAAGAGUUCAGGAUUGUGAUGUGCCACAAAAUGUUUUGAUGACAAAUAUCCAUUUAAAAAUUUAUUUUAACUUUUUGGCUGAUAUAAAGAAGAUCUAAUCAUAAACACCCUGGGUGAUGAGAGCAGCAGCAGUCCUUCUUUUUUUUUGGUCCAGCAGCUCUGUAGUUUCUAGAUCUAAGCCCCUAUAGAAAAUAAAAUGUCACUGAAGAUUGGAAUGACUUCA